rnacentral:lncRNA from 1 species
AUGAUUCAACCCGACAAUUCUAAGUAUAGGCCCGGUUCAGAGCCGAAAGUCGCGAAAUGUCCCCUUUCAUGCUUAGUUUAAUUUUAGCGGUUGUAACCGAAAGUCAAGCGUCUUCGAUAAACGCUUUGACUUUUAAACGGUUGAGCCAUGGUUCGCUUCGAACAUGGCUACGUGAUCGUAAAUAGGUAGGCAAUUAACCCUCAAAAGGGCGCCUCCUAAUUACCACAUUUACUUGGUUUCAUUGUCGGAUCAACUUAAAGUCAAACGGGUUAGUUUUAAAUAAAGUACAUAG